CCUACGGGAGGCAGCAGUGGGGAAUAUUGCACAAUGGGGGAAACCCUGAUGCAGCAACGCCGCGUGAAGGAUGACGGUUUUCGGAUUGUAAACUUCUUUUCUUAGUGACGAAGACAGUGACGGUAGCUAAGGAAUAAGCAUCGGCUAACUACGUGCCAGCAGCCGCGGUAAUACGUAGGAUGCAAGCGUUAUCCGGAUUUACUGGGUGUAAAGGGAGCGCAGGCGGGACUGCAAGUUGGAUGUGAAAUACCGUGGCUUAACCACGGAACUGCAUCCAAAACUGUAGUUCUUGAGUGAAGUAGAGGCAAGCGGAAUUCCGAGUGUAGCGGUGAAAUGCGUAGAUAUUCGGAGGAACACCAGUGGCGAAGGCGGCUUGCUGGGCUUUAACUGACGCUGAGGCUCGAAAGUGUGGGGAGCAAACAGGAUUAGAUACCCUGGUAGUCCACACUGUAAACGAUGAUAGCUAGGUGUGGGGGGUCUGACCCCUUCCGUGCCGGAGUUAACGCAAUAAGCUAUCCACCUGGGGAGUACGACCGCAAGGUUGAAACUCAAAGGAAUUGACGGGGGCCCGCACAAGCAGUGGAGUAUGUGGUUUAAUUCGACGCAACGCGAAGAACCUUACCAAGUCUUGACAUCCUGCGACGAUGCUAGAAAUAGUAUUUUCCUUCGGGACGCAGAGACAGGUGGUGCAUGGUUGUCGUCAGCUCGUGUCGUGAGAUGUUGGGUUAAGUCCCGCAACGAGCGCAACCCCUGCCAUUAGUUGCUACGCAAGAGCACUCUAAUGGGACCGCUACCGACAAGGUGGAGGAAGGUGGGGACGACGUCAAAUCAUCAUGCCCCUUAUGACCUGGGCUACACACGUAAUACAAUGGCCGUUAACAGAGGGAAGCAAAGCGGUGACGCAGAGCAAAACCCUAAAAACGGUCCCAGUUCGGACUGUAGGCUGCAACCCGCCUACACGAAGUUGGAAUUGCUAGUAAUCGCGGAUCAGCAUGCCGCGGUGAAUACGUUCCCGGGCCUUGUACACACCGCCCGUCACACCACCCGAGUCGUCUGCACCCGAAGUCGCCGGCCCAACCGUCAAGGGGGGAGGCGCCGAAGGUGUGGAGGGUGAGGGGGGUGAAGUCGUAACAAGGUAGCCGUACCGGAAGGUGCGGCUG
rnacentral:rRNA from 1 species